rnacentral:sRNA from 1 species
GCGGCCUAACAUUCCGGGCUCACAUAGGUCGCAUUGAAGAAAAGCUCACAAUCACUGAUUACCCGAAGCUUCGAAAAAAAAUUAAUGAGACAACACAUACAAAUAUUUCUGAAACAGAAAAGCUUAGAUGUAAUAAGAAAGACUAUGCUCACCCGAAAGAAUUUAAUGAGGCAACAUAUACAGCAGAUACAUAUAUUUCUGA